AGAGUUUGAUCCUGGCUCAGGAUGAACGCUAGCUACAGGCUUAACACAUGCAAGUCGAGGGGAAACGACAUCGAAAGCUUGCUUUUGAUGGGCGUCGACCGGCGCACGGGUGAGUAACGCGUAUCCAACCUGCCCACCACUUGGGGAUAACCUUGCGAAAGUAAGACUAAUACCCAAUGACGUCUCUAGAAGACAUCUGAAAGAGAUUAAAGAUUUAUCGGUGAUGGAUGGGGAUGCGUCUGAUUAGCUUGUUGGCGGGUAACGCCACAAGGCGACGAUCAGUAGGGUUCUGAGAGGAACGGUCCCCCANAUUGGAACUGAGACACGGUCCAAACUCCUACGGGAGCA
rnacentral:rRNA from 1 species